CUGGCUUACACUCGAUAUACGACGCUAUACUGUGUAUUAAAUAUUUCUGCUUAGUGUCAGAUAUUUCUCUGCUUAAAGUAAAAGUCAUAAUAUGUGAAGACAAAACGUUGAACUUCAGUGUUUUACAUCAGUAUUAAGCGGCGCAAUGUUUAGUUUAAUCAGAAACGGUAGGUUGGUAAGGUAUAGUGUUUGAGCUCAGCUCAGCUCAGGUAUUUUACUGCAUGUUUGUCAGAGACAGUGUACUAAUUGCUCAUCUUUUUUCAUAUGCACUAUGUCCAUGCCCAUGUUACAGUUUCUAUAAUUAAGCAUUUCUGUUUUAUGGGCAAUCUGUUUGUGUCUACAGCUUCCAAUAGAGGACCCUCAUCAGAGUGAGGCAGGUGAGGAGGAGGACCAAGGAGGCAUACAUCCAAGAGGAGCUCACAAGAUGUCAGCCUUGGAGCAGUUGUUUGAGGAUGAAGACAGAGAACUUCUCCAUACAAGUCAAACAACAAGCAGUGCCCUCUCCAUCACAGAGCAGGUCCAGAAA